rnacentral:piRNA from 1 species
UGGAUGAAUCUUGGGGAUUUA